rnacentral:rRNA from 1 species
CGGUAUUUUAACCGUGCGAAGGUAGCAUAGUCACUAGUCUCUUAAUUGGAGGCUUGUAUGAAUGGUUGGACAAGAAGUAAGUUGUCUCAAGUACAAAAAUUGAAUUUGACUUUUAAGUGAAAAGGCUUAAAUAUUUUAAAGGGACGAUAAGACCCUAUAAAGCUUAAUAAUUUAAUAUAUAACCAGAUAAAUUAAAAGUUUAAUAUUCUUUAUAUAUUAAAUUAUUUCGUUGGGGCGACGAUGAUAUAAUUUGUAACUGUUUAAAUUUUAAAUACAGAGAUAUUUGUGUGUAAUGAUCCUUUUUAUUGAUUAAAAAUUUAAGUUACUUUAGGGAUAACAGCGUUAUUUAUUUUGAGAGUUCAUAUCGACAAAAAAGUUUGCGACCUCGAUGUUGAAUUAAAAAUUCGCCAUGGCGUA